AAUCAUAGGGGAGCUGUGAGGCACCGCCUGUAGGUGGUCACUUGGGUGGUGCUGAGCUAGUAGUGAAACCGACCCCGGCGGGU
rnacentral:ncRNA from 2 species